UACGUAGGGUGCGAGCGUUAAUCGGAAUUACUGGGCGUAAAGCGUGCGCAGGCGGCUUGCCAAGUCAGAUGUGAAAGCCCCGGGCUUAACCUGGGAAUGGCGUUUGAAACUGGCAGGCUAGAGUUUGGCAGAGGGGGGUGGAAUUCCACGUGGUAGCAGUGAAAUGCGUAGAGAUGUGGAGGAACACCGAUGGCGAAGGCAGCCCCCUGGGCCAAAACUGACGCUCAGGCACGAAAGCGUGGGAGCAAACAGG
rnacentral:rRNA from 1 species